UACGUAGGGUGCAAGCGUUGUCCGGAAUUAUUGGGCGUAAAGAGCUCGUAGGCGGUCUGUCGCGUCGGCUGUGAAAUCCCGGAGCUCAACCUCGCGCCUGCAGUGGGUACGGGCAGACUAGAGUGCGGUAGGGGAGAUUGGAAUUCCUGGUGUAGCGGUGGAAUGCGCAGAUAUCAGGAGGAACACCGAUGGCGAAGGCAGAUCUCUGGGCCGUAACUGACGCUGAGGAGCGAAAGCGUGGGGAGCGAACAGG
rnacentral:rRNA from 1 species